AAUCAACGCUGGCGGCGUGCCUCAGACAUGCAAGUCGAACGAUUAAAGCUCUCUUCGGAGAGUGUAUAGAGUGGCGCACGGGUGAGUAACACGUAAGUAAUCUACCCUCGGGUGGGGAAUAACAUUCGGAAACGAAUGCUAAUACCGCAUAAUGCAGCGGCUCCUAAUGGAGACAGUUGUUAAAGGAUUUAUUCGCCUGAGGAGGAGCUUGCGGCAGAUUAGCUAGUUGGUAAGGUAAUGGCUUACCAAGGCUACGAUCUGUAGCCGGUCUAAGAGGACGGUCGGUCACACUGACACUGAAUAACGGGUCAGACUCCUACGGGAGGCAGCAGUCGGGAAUUUUGGGCAAUGGGCGAAAGCCUGACCCAGCAACGCCGCGUGAAGGAUGAAGUAUUUCGGUAUGUAAACUUCGAAAGAAUAGGAAGAAUUAAUGACGGUACUAUUUAUAAGGUCCGGCUAACUACGUGCCAGCAGCCGCCGUAAC
rnacentral:rRNA from 1 species